ACACACACACACACACACACACACACACACACACACAGUGUUCGAAUUACCCCUCCAUCUUCGGGGGGGUCUGUUUUUUGACAAAAUUGCCAAUGACGUCAUAAUUUUACCUUGCGUCUAGUAGGCCUAUGUUCAUACCUACAUCACUACACACUAACGGUGUGUAACCAACAUUCGUGGUAACUGCAUAAAAUGCCUAUGCCAGGUUGCUAAUUCUGAAGAAAAAUAUUGCUAACAAAUAUAUCGGGGUAAACAACAAACAGCACCAACUUACUUAAUAAGACAGGAUUAAGGAAGCAUCUUCCCAAAUUGCUUAUUCACGUGAUCUGCGGGGAGCGACGCGCUGAAUGAGGGCAACAGAUUCACCGACGUGACUUACAAACAAGUACACUGCAACACUGAACAACCAGCCUGACGUUACAAUAUCCAGAUACAUCAUGGGCCUACUUCGGAUCUCCAUCAACAGUGACGAUCAAGGCUAUAUUAGGAACAAUUGCAUUGCAGAAUGAAUUAGGCUAUGUAGCCUAAUAAAAAAUAGGCCUAAUAACAAUGUAUUGUUUUAGACUAAAAGUAGGACAGGCUAUGCUAAUACCACGGAGGGAAUAAAUGACACGACUUAAGCAUCAUGACUUCAGUGAUUAAUUUAUUAUGACCUAUAGGCCCAGCCUAGACGAGCAAAACUACAGUAGCGUACAAACUACGCUUCAAACAACGAUUGCAUGCAGAUUUAAAACUUUUACACGCUCAUUCAGAUCAGAUUCGUGACCAGAGAAGUUAAUUGUAGACAGACGAAGACAGACAUAUUUUGAUCUCAAACGAGCCUUUUCGGAGCAUUUCGGUGCCGCCUGCGUGUGUGUGAGAUGAGAGUGGGAGAGAGAGGCAUGUUACAGAGGGAUGUGAAUGUAGUGAUACUGUUAUAAAGAUCAAAAAAUAAAUCCUCGGAUCCAAACCACAGUGCAAAUUAUUAACCUGCUGCUGUUGUGAAGGAGAGAGGGAGUUCACCCGAGUCAAUUCAAGUACCUCGGCCCUGGAGCAGCCAGCCAAAUAUAGGCCUACUGUAAGUCUCCCCUGAGAUCUCAAACUACGUCCUGAGACAACGCAGGAAAAGUUAACAUUGGGCUCCGUACAGUAGCCAAGGCUACUCGGGUUAAUGCGUUGUCAACUCGUCUCUCAUGCUGCGCCGAAACAAGCCGUUUUUCUUUAAUAGACGCUUCAGUUUUCAUGCUUAUAAUCACAUUGUGUCUCACAGACAAAUCCACUAGUUUAUUGUUGUAUGUGAGCCCCAGGUUAAAGUAAAAAGCUAAUGUCCAGAUUAUCCAUGAGAUGAGUUUUAGCUGAACUGCACUACAAGUAAACCUGGAUGAUAGCCUAUCCCAAGUUGACAGGAACGACAGGGACACUGGCAUGGCCUAGGGAACCAGACAGUGAGGGAGGACGGAAGUGUGAUAAGUUUAAACAAUAAUUUGCUGUUUCACUGGGUGAAAAGGCUCUGAAUCAGGGGAUAUGCCGUCAGGAUAUUUUUUAUGACAUGCAGCAUAUCAGGAACAAUUUUGAUCAUAUCUUGAGUUUUUAAGAAUCAGUGGAAAUAUGACUUAUUUCGACUCCUGAUUUGCUAAUCAGAAAUCAGGGGUGCGAUACUCAAAGCACAAGUCACGCACACCAUUUCUGGAUUAAUAGGUCUAUCAUCCUUAGACAGGCUAUUAUGUUAGAUAUCCAAUUUUAUGAGUUUGGUAGUCAUUAAUGUAACAGUUUAAAAUAUGCCAAGGCUAUGUCUAAUUUCCACGAUUUCUUAAAAUAUAACGGAUGCUUAUCAGCAUGCGCACGCACUUCCCCACCCAACUGACUUUUAAAAUCCAACCACUGCACUGCUGCCGAGUCCGACUUCAGUUCAACCGUCAUUUUUCUGUCAUGUAUCUGAAGCUGUACAAACUCUGCCGUCUUCAUAUCCAAGAGACAGGCGGCUGACCCACGUCAAUACCGAAGUAAAUGCCAGGGAUCUUUAGUUUGUGAAAGGCGGUGAGUUGUGAGGACUGCUGUCCUGAGACCAUUGAGUGCAGUCUGGAAUAUUCCAAAUGUGUGCCAGUUCCAUAAGAAAAAAGUUCCAAUGAAGAGUACACUCACCAGUGGGCUCAAUAGUCCAGGACAAAGUCGGUCUGUCCUUCUACUACUACAUGCUACUUGACUUUGUCUGGAAGCCAUGGAUGCUGCCCUCAACAUGCUAAACCCUCACAAAUAAACUGAUAUCAAGAAUUAACAUUGAUGGUGAUGACGGAAAGGCCUUCAUAAGGUGCCCUCCAGCAACCCCAGCCUGGAGCCAGAGGCUGGUACUGCACAUCAGAUGGGGUAUGAUCUGUGCUAGGCAUCAGAAAGGUGGUCUACGCAAGAAGGCAAGAGCUUCUGCAGACAGUGUUGCAAUUAGACACCUGACCUUUACUGCCAAAGGGAUCCCCAUCAGAGCACCUCUGCCUUCCCUGCAGGACAACUAUACCAGAAGAGUACGGACAAGGACUCAACAUGUUUUAAAGGACAUUUCACGCCCAGACCAUGGACUGUUGAAACCACUGAGGUCAAGCAGAAGUCUUGUUCUCACUCGAGACAGGUCAUUGACAGGCGGCGAGUGUCACUACCCAAGUACCCCCACUGCAGACGAGAAAGCCAUAUUGAUUUGAGUAUUUCUUGAUAAAUACAAUAAAGACCAUGUAACAAA